rnacentral:rRNA from 1 species
GACGUAGGAUGCAAGCGUUGUCCGGAUUUAUUGGGCGUAAAGAGUUCGUAGGCGGUUUAUUGAGUUUGGUGUUAAAUACUGAGGCUCAACCUCGGAACUGCAUUGAAUACUGGUAGACUCGAGUACAGUAGAGGUUGGUGGAAUUCCCAGUGUAGCGGUGAAAUGCGUAGAUAUUGGGAAGAACACCGGUGGCGUAAGCGACUAACUGGGCUGUAACUGACGCUGAGGAACGAAAGCCAGGGGGAGCAAAUGGGAUUAGAUACCCCAGUAGUCCUGGCCGUAAACGAUGGAUACUAGGCGUAGCGGGUAUCAACCCCUGCUGUGCCGUAGCUAACGCGAUAAGUAUCCCGCCUGAGUAGUACGGCCGCAAGGUUGAAACUC